GGGGGCGGCGGAAUUUUUGGACAAUGGGCGCAAGCCUGAUCCAGCCAUGCCGCGUGCAGGAUGAAGGCCUUCGGGUUGUAAACUGCUUUUGUACGGAACGAAAAGGUUUCUUUUAAUACAGGGAACUGAUGACGGUACCGUAAGAAUAAGCACCGGCUAACUACGUGCCAGCAGCCGCGGCAAUACGUAGGGUGCGAGCGUUAAUCGGAAUUACUGGGCGUAAAGCGUGCGCAGGCGGUGAUGUAAGACAGAGGUGAAAUCCCCGGGCUCAACCUGGGAACUGCCUUUGUGACUGCAUCGCUGGAGUGCGGCAGAGGGGGAUGGAAUUCCGCGUGUAGCAGUGAAAUGCGUAGAUAUGCGGAGGAACACCGAUGGCGAAGGCAAUCCCCUGGGCCUGCACUGACGCUCAUGCACGAAAGCGUGGGGAGCAAACAGGAUUAGAUACCCCUGGUAGA
rnacentral:rRNA from 1 species